AGUUUAUACGUGAUACGUUCAUUAUGGUUGUUUUGAAAGAUGUUUUGUCUCUUUCGUUGACGGUAGAGAACUCUGCGUUGAGGCUUCUAGUCAUUAUAAUCUCUAUUAUUUACACGUAAAACUUGAUAUCAAAACGAGGGAAACAGAGAUACUACCACGCUGAAGACAUAGUUGGGUCACGAUCGGUACUGCAACAUACGACUCCGAUGACACCUUCCUCGUUAGUAUAGUGAUCCGCAGCCAUGCAGCCCGCCUCCUCUCCUUUCUCCUCCUCACUGUGGUCACUCAGAGCCCUGUCCCAGCCUCCAUCUUCAUCUUCAUUACUAUCAGCAUGUUGACUCUGGGGUGGUGGUUGUGCAACAUCCUGUCACUGCUGGGAUUCUUUCUGCUAUGAUGGGUCAUUGGAGUCUAACUGCCAAACAGUUACAUUUAUUUCUGUAUCUCAAUAAAUCAUGUUCGUUUUUUCCACAUGAUCUCUC
ensembl:lncRNA